GAUGAACGCUGGCGGCGUGCCUAAUACAUGCAAGUCGAGCGAACGGACGAGAAGCUUGCUUCUCUGAUGUUAGCGGCGGACGGGUGAGUAACACGUGGAUAACCUACCUAUAAGACUGGGAUAACUUCGGGAAACCGGAGCUAAUACCGGAUGAUAUUUUGAACCGCAUGGUUCAAAAGUUAAAGACGGUCUUGCUGUCACUUAUAGAUGGAUCCGCGCUGCAUUAGCUAGUUGGUAAGGUAACGGCUUACCAAGGCAACGAUGCAUAGCCGACCUGAGAGGGUGAUCAGCCACACUGGAACUGAGACACGGUCCAGACUCCUACGGGAGGCAGCAGUAGGGAAUCUUCCGCAAUGGGCGAAAGCCUGACGGAGCAACGCCGCGUGAGUGAUGAAGGUCUUCGGAUCGUAAAACUCUGUUAUUAGGGAAGAACAUAUGUGUAAGUAACUGUGCACAUCUUGACGGUACCUAAUCAGAAAGCCACGGCUAACUACGUG
rnacentral:rRNA from 1 species